rnacentral:rRNA from 1 species
GACGAACGCUGGCGGCGUGCUUAACACAUGCAAGUCGAACGGAAAGGCCCUGCUUUUGUGGGGUGCUCGAGUGGCGAACGGGUGAGUAACACGUGAGUAACCUGCCCUUGACUUUGGGAUAACUUCAGGAAACUGGGGCUAAUACCGGAUAGGAGCUCCUGCCGCAUGGUGGGGGUUGGAAAGUUUCGGCGGUUGGGGAUGGACUCGCGGCUUAUCAGCUUGCUGGUGGGGUAGUGGCUUACCAAGGCUUUGACGGGUAGCCGGCCUGAGAGGGUGACCGGCCACAUUGGGACUGAGAUACGGCCCAGACUCCUACGGGAGGCAGCAGUGGGGAAUAUUGCACAAUGGGCGGAAGCCUGAUGCAGCAACGCCGCGUGCGGGAUGACGGCCUUCGGGUUGUAAACCGCUUUCGCCUGUGACGAAGCGUGAGUGGCGGUAAUGGGUAAAGAAGCACCGGCUAACUACGUG